rnacentral:rRNA from 1 species
UACAGAGGUCCCAAGCGUUGUUCGGAUUCACUGGGCGUAAAGGGUGCGUAGGUGGCCAGGUAAGUCGGAUGUGAAAGCUCGGAGCUCAACUCCGAAAUGGCAUUGGAAACUGCCUGGCUCGAGGGUUGGAGGGGGGACUGGAAUACUUGGUGUAGCAGUGAAAUGCGUAGAUAUCAAGUGGAACACCAGUGGCGAAGGCGAGUCCCUAGACAACUCCUGACACUGAGGCACGAAAGCUAGGGGAGCAAACAGG